UGGGGAAUAUUGCACAAUGGGCGCAAGCCUGAUGCAGCCAUGCCGCGUGUAUGAAGAAGGCCUUCGGGUUGUAAAGUACUUUCAGUCGGGAGGAAGGUGGUAAGGUUAACAACCUUAUCAAUUGACGUUACCGACAGAAGAAGCACCGGCUAACUCCGUGCCAGCAGCCGCGGUAAUACGGAGGGUGCAAGCGUUAAUCGGAAUUACUGGGCGUAAAGCGCACGCAGGCGGUUGAUUGAGUCAGAUGUGAAAUCCCCGGGCUUAACCCGGGAAUUGCAUCUGAUACUGGUCAGCUAGAGUCUUGUAGAGGGGGGUAGAAUUCCAUGUGUAGCGGUGAAAUGCGUAGAGAUGUGGAGGAAUACCGGUGGCGAAGGCGGCCCACUGGACAAAGACUGACGCUCAGGUGCGAAAGCGUGGGGAGCAAACAGG
rnacentral:rRNA from 1 species